rnacentral:rRNA from 1 species
GUAGGGACCAAGCGUUGUUCGGAUUUACUGGGCGUAAAGGGCGCGUAGGCGGCGUGGUAAGUCACUUGUGAAAUCUCUGAGCUUAACUCAGAACGGCCAAGUGAUACUGCUGUGCUCGAGUGUGGAAGGGGCAAUCGGAAUUCUUGGUGUAGCGGUGAAAUGCGUAGAUAUCAAGAGGAACACCUGAGGUGAAGACGGGUUGCUGGGCCAACACUGACGCUGAGGCGCGAAAGCCAGGGGAGCAAACGGGAUUAGAUACCCCGGUAGUCCUGGCCCUAAACGAUGAAUACUUGGUGUCUGGAGUUUUAAUGCUCCGGGUGCCGUCGCUAACGUUUUUAGUAUUCCGCCUGGGGAGUACGCUCGCAAGAGUGAA